CAAAAAAUGACAACGUCAAUCCUUCUACUAAGCCUACUACUACUCGCAUCUAAUAUGCGCGGUAUGCUUAUGGACGGAAGGUAAAACAGUCACUGUCCAGAAACAUAAAAACCCGCGCAAACCGCGGGUUUUUUU
rfam:Providencia burhodogranariea DSM 19968 genomic scaffold scaffold00001, whole genome shotgun sequence.